GGGUUGUGAGGUUAAGCGACUAAGCGUACACGGUGGAUGCCCUGGCAGUCAGAGGCGAUGAAGGGCGUGCUAAUCUGCGAUAAGCGCCGGUAAGGUGAUAUGAACCGUUAUAACCGGCGAUACCCGAAUGGGGAAACCCAGUGUGAUUCGUCACACUAUCAUUAACUGAAUCCAUAGGUUAAUGAGGCGAACCGGGGGAACUGAAACAUCUAAGUACCCCGAGGAAAAGAAAUCAACCGAGAUUCCCCCAGUAGCGGCGAGCGAACGGGGAGGAGCCCAGAGCCUGAAUCAGCAUGUGUGUUAGUGGAAGCGUCUGGAAAGGCGCGCGAUACAGGGUGACAGCCCCGUACACAAAAGCGCAUGUGCUGUGAGCUCGAUGAGUAGGGCGGGACACGUGGUAUCCUGUCUGAAUAUGGGGGGACCAUCCUCCAAGGCUAAAUACUCCUGACUGACCGAUAGUGAACCAGUACCGUGAGGGAAAGGCGAAAAGAACCCCGGCGAGGGGAGUGAAAAAGAACCUGAAACCGUGUACGUACAAGCAGUGGGAGCACCCUUUGGGGUGUGACUGCGUACCUUUUGUAUAAUGGGUCAGCGACUUAUAUUCUGUAGCAAGGUUAACCGAAUAGGGGAGCCGGAGGGAAACCGAGUCUUAACCGGGCGUUAAGUUGCAGGGUAUAGACCCGAAACCCGGUGAUCUAGCCAUGGGCAGGUUGAAGGUUGGGUAACACUAACUGGAGGACCGAACCGACUAAUGUUGAAAAAUUAGCGGAUGACCUGUGGCUGGGGGUGAAAGGCCAAUCAAACCGGGAGAUAGCUGGUUCUCCCCGAAAGCUAUUUAGGUAGCGCCUCGUGAAUUCAUCUCCGGGGGUAGAGCACUGUUUCGGCUAGGGGGCCAUCCCGGCUUACCAACCCGAUGCAAACUGCGAAUACCGGAGAAUGUUAUCACGGGAGACACACGGCGGGUGCUAACGUCCGUCGUGAAGAGGGAAACAACCCAGACCGCCAGCUAAGGUCCCAAAGUCAUGGUUAAGUGGGAAACGAUGUGGGAAGGCCCAGACAGCCAGGAUGUUGGCUUAGAAGCAGCCAUCAUUUAAAGAAAGCGUAAUAGCUCACUGGUCGAGUCGGCCUGCGCGGAAGAUGUAACGGGGCUAAAC
rnacentral:rRNA from 1 species